CGAGGCCCAUCUGCGCGCGGCUGCAGCCGGACGCACUGACCACGCAAUGAGUCCCCAACACUUCGACUCCGGGCGGCCAGCUGUGGUUCCCGCCAGAGCGUUCAAAGACCUCACGCGAGAGUAGGAAAUGUCGCUGGGAGCGGCUGGGGACGAAGAGUGACGGGAAGGCGAGAUAGCGGAACCCGCCCCAGGUUCCGCGCGUGCGCAGAAACCGAGACAGCCCUCUUCCGGCUCCAAGUAGGAUAUCUGCGGAUGCGGAGGUGAGGACGGAAGUGGAGUUGCCCCUAGGCAUGUGGGGCAAGCAGAAUCCCGGAUCCAAGGGCUAGACACCAGGUCCGCGGAGCUGGGCUGGAAGUCAAGGAUGCAUUUCAAGAAAGUACUGAAAAAUAUAUCACCAGCUCCCACCUGAUAGUUGACCUAGCCAUGGAAAACCUCAUUGGAGCCUCACUAAAUCAGACCAUAACUGGCACUCUUAAAAACUCUCCCAUCAAAAAGUAUCAGGAAUGACAAUCUAAGAUAUAGAUCUACCACUUCAAGAAAGCUGUACCAGUCAGCAGCCUAA